GGCCUAUCCAGCACAGUAGCUAUAUCAUAGCAGGCACUCAAAGACUUGUUGAAUAAAUGAACGGAUGUAGAGAUGAUGAUGUAAUAAACAUUACUAGCUAUAAAAAUUAUUAAAUUUUGAGGUAAAAUAACUCCUCUGGAAAUCAAGCCUAAACAAGUAAUAUAAAAUAAAGAAAACAAUUGCAGAGAUAGUUCUAAAUGCUCACCAAGACCAUUUUCUCUUCUCUCCAGGUACAUAGCAGGACUGCCUCUCCUAGCAUCCCUUGCAGCUAGGUGAAGUCAUGUGACUGCAUUCUGGCCAAUGGUGUGUGUGCAUAAAUCUUGCAUAUCCCUUCCAAGCAGACUCCUAAAGCCUCCUUUGAAAUUCUUCAUGCUUUGUUUUUUCCUUUAUCUGUCUCCUGAAUUUUGAGGACCAUCCGAAACCUUUGAAAUCCUAGAAGAUGGCACAGCCACCAGAUGAAAGAAGCCUGAUCCCUAACUAAUGUGUGGAGCUGAGUGGAGGGGAGCAAAAAUGAUGACCCUGGGCUGUGAUGGUCCCAGUGAAGUCAGGACCAGCAACAGUGCUACUCUCUAACUUGAGAUGUUGACCUCAAUCAACUCAGCAGUCUAACUGACUAAGUAAUGUAUAAAUUAAGUAGAACGCAUAGACUGGUUAAACAGAAUUUUUCGAUCCAGACUCAUUUCUGUAGCUCAUUUUCCUUAUGCACUCACUAAACCUUGAACUGGAAGCAAACAUGUGACAGACUCAGAGUCUGUCUUCACAGAGCCAACAGACUUGGGAGAAUGGGAUGAGGAUGGAAAGCUAAAGAAACACCGCUUAUUGAAUAUUCACUCUAUGCCAUGGAUAAGACUGAGGACUUUGACAAACUCUUGUCAUAUCCUUUUUGAAAUAGGCACUGUCAUCUCUGUCCUACAAAUCAGAAAAUAGGCUUAGAGAAGCUAAGUGAUUUUUUGAAGGUCACACAGCAAGAUGCAAGCUGCCAAGAUUAAAUUGAAAUCUAAGUCUGUCUAAAUUCAUUUUCUAAGAAGUUUCAAUAGAAGCCAAAUAUCCUCAUGAUACUAAAGAAAAGAGGGAGAAAUGAAUUAUUCUGGGAGUUCAAAAGAGAUUCCAAAGGUAGGACUGGUAGAAGGAUGUGAAACAAAGGGGCGGCAGUUUUUGUUGCUGUUAUAAAUAGAUGGAUAUUUGGUGCAGAGUCUUAGUUUCAAAGCAAAGCUGUUGCUUUGUGGGUUACUUGGGGAGGGCUUAGGGGCAGCUGCCCAGCAUUAGUUGGAAAUGCUCAGGCCAGGCUUGAGUGUCCCUCAAGUCUCCUUUCUCUAUUUGUGAAGGCCGGGUAUGCCUUUGAAACUCAGCCUUCUAAAAUCCUGUCUCUCCAGGCUUGGAAACAGGCUUGUCAGAGGCAAACAAUCAAGACGUGUUUAGUCACCCCUUCACAAGUAAGCAUUUUAAAAGGUACGACUAAUCCAUUCCAACUCCUCAUAAAUGACAAGAGCCUGCCCAUUACCACAGUUACCAAAUCAGCACUCUGAGUCUCCAUCCAUUUCCUUGCCUGUUACAGGACACUGAACGAGAGGAUGCAGCUGAGCAGGUGAGGUGAAACCUCUUUCUGCUCCACUCACAACGCCGCCUCAGCCCCCGGUUGUAUUAGAAUCUUAAGCCACCAAUUUGCAGAGAUAAAAGUAAAUCUAUUAAUUAGCUAGGACAAUGGGACUGAUGUCUCAUAACGGAGGGCACAGCCACAUUAAUCAGUCAGUACAAGGGUCAGGAGACCUGAGGACCCACACAUAUUUAGCCAUUCAUAUGAUCUUUCUGAAACACAAGUCUGACAGCAGGCCUCCACUGCACCUAAAUAUGUAUUGAUUCCAAUCUUCACUAGCAGAUUAUCUCCAAACUCCCUAGUUUGACAUAAAGCACUCAGCAAUCAGUCCAUAGCCCACCCUUUCAAUCUCAUGGCUCCUUCAACCGUAAGGCUUAUCUCAAGUGUCCCCUCCUCCAGGAAAUCUCCCUGGUUCUAUUCAAUCUACUUUCUUGCACCCACUCAUAACACAUUUCAUUUUGCUGUAGCUAUCUUUUAGCUUGUCUGUCUCCCCCACCUGUGAGCAACCAAAGGAAAACAGUCUGCAUUGUUCUCAUCUUUCUUUUCUUUUACAGUGAUUAGCACCCUACAUGAUAUGUCGUAGGCAUGUAAUAAAAUUUGAGUAAAUUAUGACUGUGCCUUUCCUCACUGUUGGUUUCAGCAACUCCAAAUACCCUGGACCAUUCCUAGAAUAUGCUCUGCAUCCCAUGACCUCAGUGCCAUUCCUGAUUCUCUUCCUUUCACCUGAAAUACCUUCAACCCACACCCCCACACCCCCCACUACACUCUGUUUGAAGAAACUGCAACCAUCUUUUAUUUACUUCACCUAAAAUGCUGCUGGAAAUCUGAAGCCUUCUAUGACUCUCCAAGGCAGAUCUGGAGACCUCCAAGGCAGAACUUGUUGUUCUCAAUCUAGGAUUCCAGUUCUUAUUCUUGGGCUCUGGUUAGCUGAAUGUAUCUGUCUCAUCCAUAGAUUGCAAAUUCCUCCAGGACGAAAACCAGUCCUUACCCAUGUUUCUGUUCUACAUCUGCCAUCUAAGCAGAUGCUUAAUACUCUACGUGGAAUUAAAUAAUAAAGUGACCAGCAGUCACUAAAAAUGAUCUUCAAAUCAAUCUGUCUCCCUGCAGAAAUAUUGCCUGAGCCUCCUCCUCUCCUAACCCCUCACCUAGCAAUGAGACCUUGUUUUGACAGCUCACUUCACUUCUCACACCUGAGCUGCAAGCUUCAAGCAGUGGCUCAGGGAGGAUAGGAAAUGUGGUGAAUGAUGCUUUCUCCACUCAGGAUAGAGGCAGGAUUGGUUUUAAAGUGGUUGCCAUUUGGAGCAGCAGCCUAAGAUCAAUCACUAUCCUUGUUCUUGCCAAGCUGUGAGCAGUUUUUGUUUCCGAUCUGCCUGUCAGGAAAACAUGCUUCUCUUCGUAAACCUGUCUUUGGGCUAAGAUGAUUGAAAGGGAGGUGAGGAGAAAAAUGAAAAAGAAAAAGUAGAAAAACCAAACAAAAAGGUAGGGAAAAAUACAGUCCCCAAAACCUUCAGUUUGAUUGAAAAAACCAAAACAGGAGUUUUGGGUUCAGUUAAGCUUAUUCUUUGCUACUAAACUACCAUGUAAUCUUGGAAAAGUUACUUACUCUGCCUAAACCCCCAUUUCUUUAUCUACAAGGAUGGAUUGAGGACUAAAUGAGAUGAUCCAUGUUUCAAAUAAAAAGCACUGAACAGUGUCUAAGAAGGUGCUCAAUAAGUAUAUAUUUUUGUCAUCGCCAAGUUGCCAGCAGGAAUUACACCAUCAUAUCAUGUUAUAUUUAUGACUUAAGUCAGCUUCCCUGGAGCAGACUGAGAAAAGAUUUGUGUACCAGUAACUAAAUUAUAAAGUGCUCCUCAGAGGAGCCUGUGAGGUAUUGGGGAAGUAGGGUCUGGAAGGAGAAGAAGCCAAACCAGCACAGGAUUUUAGGCAAAGUCUCAGGUUUGGUCUUCACAGGGACACUGGAAUGUCAAUUACAUCUAGAGGAUGUCCCAGCUCUGGAAAAAGGGGCUGCACUUUCAUAUAUUCUCAUCCUUAGUCAUUGGCUAAGGUUACCCUAAAGGGAUACACACUUCAAGGGACUCUGAUUCUUGAAGCCUCAGGUAAAACAGCCCCAGUAACACAAGAGUGGUCUUUGCAAGAAAGCAAGAGCUACUGACCUUCAGGAGCAAAGCACACACAUGCCAACACAUGGGCACCUGGAAAUGGUAAGAGGGGUCUGAGGACAAAUGGAUGCAUCACUGUCUGUGUCCAGGAUGCUUUGAAUGAGGCACUUUUAAAAAAACAGUUUUAUUGAGGUAUAAUUGAUGUAUAAAAACUGCACAUAUUUAAUAUAUACAAUUUUAUGAGUUUGGACAUAUGCAAACACCUGUAAUACCAUCACCAUAAUCAAAGUAAUUUAUGACAAACGCACCUGCCAGCAAUAACUUAAGCAUGCCUUGAGGACAACCCUGUAUCGCAGACACACCUGAAUAUAGUUUUGAGUUCCGAGCUAAGGAAUCCAGGAGAGGCCAACUUGGAGAGUUAUUCCUUAUCUAUGAGGAAAAACUGAGCCCCCGACCAAUCCCACGGAAUGCAGUCCAUAUGGGGGAUCAAGGCCCUUUGUUUUGAGUUACGUGAAGGUUGCCAGGUGGAGGUUGUUAGGGGAAUGGUAUUAAGUUAAAAUGCUGUAUAAACUGCAUGCCUUUUGCUGCCUACCCCGCCACAACUGGACUAUGCAGUUAUCCUGUCCAGCCUGCCACCACUGAACUCUUUCUCCUGGAUAUAAGUCCCCAGAAAAACUCCAUGUCUUGUUUGCAGUCCCUGGGUCUCUUCUUUGGGCUCUUCAGCCUUGUACCAUCCCCACUGGAGUUGACAGGGUUUCAGCACAACAGUAAUAAAUAUACACAUCACCUCCAACAGUUUCCUUGUGUCCUUCUGUGUUGUGGGGGGUAGAGGGGUAUUUUUGUGGUAAGAACAUUUAACAUGAGAUCUACCCUCUUAAAUUUUUAAGUGAACAGUACUGUAUUAACUAUAGGCACUAGUUGUGUAGAAGACCUCUUGAGCUUAUUCAUCAUGUGUAACUGAUAUGAACAAUAUAUACUCAUUGAAUAACUCCUCAUUUCCCUCUCCUCCUAUUCCCUAGCAACCACCAUUCUGUUUACUGCUUCUGUAAUUUGACUAUUUUAGACACCUUAUAUAAGUGAGAUCGGACAUUUGUCCUUCUUUGACUGACUUAUUUCACUUGGCAUAAUGUCUUCCAGGUCCAUCCAUGCUAUUCCAAAUGGUAGGAUAUCCUUUUUAAGGCUGAAUAAUAUUCUAUUGAAUGCAUAUACCCAAUGGACAUUUGGAUUGUUUCCGUAUCUUAUAUAUUGGGAAUAAUGCUGCUAUGAACAUAGAAGUGUAGAGCUCUUUGAGAUUCUGACUGCAGUUAUUGUGGAUAUAUACCCAUAAGAAGGGUUGCUGGAUCAUAUGGUUGUUCCAUUCUUAAUGUUUGUGAAACCUCCCUCCUGUUUUCCACAGCAGCUGCACCAUUUUCCUUUCCCACCAAUAGGGUACAAAGGUUUCAAUUUCUCUGCAGUCUCACCAACAUUUGCUGUCUUUUAUUUUUUUGAUAAUGGCUAUUACAGCAAAUGUGAUAUCUCACUGGUUUUGAUUUGCAUUUCCCUGAUUCUGAGUGAUGUUGAUGGAGCACUUUUCUUAUAACUGUUGGCUAUUUGUAUGCCUUCUUUGGAGAAAUGUCUAUUCAGGUCCUUUGCCCGCUUCUUACCCAGAUUACUCAGGGUUUUUUUUUGCCUUUGAGUUAUAGGAGUUCCUUAUAUAUUUUAGAUAUUAACCCAUUAUCAGAUAUAUGUUUUGCAAACAUUUUCUGCCAUUCCAUAGGUUGCCUUUUUAUGCUGUUGAUUGUUUCCUUUGCUGUGUUAAAAACUUUUUAGUUUGAUGUAGUCCCACUUGUCUAUUUUUGUUUUUGCUACCUGUCCUUUUGAUGCCAUGUCCAAGAAAUUAUUGCCAAGACCAAUGUCAUGAAGCUUUCCUUGAUGUUUUCUUCCCAUAGUUUCAUAGUUUCAGAUCUUACAUUAAAAUUUUGAAUCUAUUUUGAGUUCAUUUUUGUGUAUGGUGUAAGAUAGGGGUCUAAUCUCAUUCUUUUGCAUGUUGAUAGCCAGUUCUUUCAACACCUUUUAUUAACAAGACUAUUCUUUCUUCAUUGUGUAUUCUUGGCACCCUAAGCACUUUUUCCUGCAUUAUGCAGUUGAUCCCCACUACAACUCUGUAUUAGAUAAUAUGAGUAUUAUUAAGCCUGCAUGGCAGACAAGUAAACCGAGGUUCAGAAAAGUAACAUGAUUUUCUCAGUCACCUAGUCAUGCAGAGAUGGAACAUUGGCACCAUUUCCUGAUUCUUUGGUCCUUUUGGGAAAAUCCUGAGCAUUCCAGGGAUCUCACAAUUCUUGGUAGUAACUCCACUAUGAGUUCAUGAAUGCUGUGAAAACACCAUUUGGGGUACAGAUGGUUGUGCAUAAGGCUUAUAAGGAGAUAUCUUUUUUAUUUAUAAGAAUAUUGCCUGUAAUCCCAACACUUUGGGAGGCUAAAGCAGAUAGAACACUUGAACCCAAGAGUUUGAGACCAGCCUAGGCAACAUGGUGAAACCCUGUCUCUACAAAAAAUAGAUAAAUACAAAAAUUAGCUGGGCAUGGUGGCACGUGCCUGCAGUCCCAGCUACUCAGGAGGCAGAGGUGGGAGGACUACCUGAGUCUAGGAAUUUGAGGCUGCAGUGAGCCAUGACUAUGUCACUGCAUUCCAGCCUGGGUGACAAGCUCUUUUAAAAAUGUAUAUGUACACUUCUGUUCAUGUAUGUAUUAGUGUGUAUGUGUCUAUGUAUUAGUCUGUUCUCACACUGCUAAUAAAGAUAUACUUGAGACUGAAUAAUUUAUAAAGAAAAAGAGGUUUGAUGGACUCAGAGUUCCACAUGGCUAGGGAAGACUCACAGUCAUGGAGGAAGGAAAAGGAGAAGCAAAGGCAUAUCUUACAUGGCAGCAAGCAAGAGAAUGUGUGCAAGCAAGAGAAUGUGUGCAGGGGAACUGCUCUUAAUAAAACCAUCAAAUCUCAUGAGACUUAUUCACUAUCACGAGAACAGCACAGAAGAAACCCACCCUCAUGAUUCAGUUACCUCCCACUGGGUCCCUCUCACGACAUGUGGGGAUUAUGGGAGCUAUAAUUCAAGAUGAGAUUUGGGUGAGGACACAGCCAAACCAUAUCAGUCUACAUGUGUGUGUGUUUGUGAAGUCAUAUCCACCAAAGAAGAAAGACCAAAAGGAUGUUAAUUUAAAAUGUUAACCAUAGGUUGAGAGGUUAGAAAGUGACCCGAAGAGGAUGGCCUGUGGUACUUCUAGGGAAGAGCCAUCUGUCAUGGCAAGUGCUAAGAGAACAGAGAAAAUAGUAGAGUGUCUCCAGGGAGCAGUGGACACCCAGUCCUCUAAGCUUCUGAGGUUUUCUGCAUCAUGACUUAACUGACACUGAGUAAAGAAGAGCUCCCAGGGCACCAUCUCGAGAGGGAGCAGCUUUGAGAUGGGCCUGUGAGAAGGGCCCUGAUGUCUGCUCUUUGCCCAUGAUCUCAGAGCUGCUUGACCUUUUGCCACACGUAUGGAAUGGAGGUGGGGGAUUGGUGAGGGAGGGUGACUGUUUUUUUAAUUCCAAGGAAAUCAGUGGAGAAAAAGUCAGCACAGAGUCAUAGUUGAAUGUCUCCAUCCUUCUUUUCUCACAUCCCACUCCUGCCGCCUAGGUAGCUAUUGGGAGGAGGAACAAAAGCACAUUACUCCCAAGAAACCAUAACGCUCCACUGUUGUCCUUUAUUAGUUCCUUACUAGUUUCUACUGAGGAAGAAAGUUAAAUGACCUCACUUAGGGCUUAGAAAGCCAAAUCCAAUUCAGGAGAUAUUCCUAUAUUAAUCAGAUAGUUCCAACACACUUUUAACUUCCUUAAAGUGCUUUCACAUCUAUGAUUUUAUUUGUAGACAGCUCUGCAAGACUGGCCUUGAAAAAAAGAAAAGCCAGCAACAAUCAGUAGUGAGAAUGAAAAGAAGAAAAUGAGCCCAAGCAAGACACUGAACUCUAGACCAGGCUUCUCAACACAGCUGCACAUCAGCACCAGCUGAGGAGGCUUCCAAGGUCCCCACACCCAAGCUGCAGCAAAACCACUUAAAUGAGGAUGAAGUGGGUGAAAUCCAGAUUUCAAUAAUUGUUAAAACCCUCAGAUGAUUCCAGCAUAAAGACAGGUUUGAGAAUCUCUAUGCUAAAGGGAGCUAACUAGUCAAGGCAUCCACAUCUGACAUUUUGUAAGAACCAGAUGAUUAAACCUACCAAGAAGGGGAGAUCUUGAGUUAGUCAUUCACCAAAUAUUUAUUAAGCACUUCCUAAGAACAAGGCACCAUGCUCUGUGCUCGGGGGACCCAAGAUGAAACUCCCCAGGGUCUAUGUUGUCUGUACCCACAGUCUUGGUGGGGAAGAGUGGUAGAUAAAAAAAAUAACUGAGAAUAACUGUGGUCCUUCCUGAAAUGGGAGAUGUUGGGCAGGGGGUACAGACUUGCAGUUAUAAAAUGAAAAAGUUCUGGAGAUCUACUGCACAGCAUGGUGACUGUAGUUAAUUAUAUUAGUCCGUUCUCACACUGCUAUAAGGAACUGCAUGAAAUUGGGUAAUUUAUAAAGGAAAGAGGUUUAAUGGACUCACAGUUCAGCAUGAUGGAGGAGGCAUCAGGAAACUUACAAUCAUGGCAGACGGCAAAGGGGAAGCAAGGCACCUUUUUCACAAGGUGGCAGGAAGGAAAAAUUAACGCGAAAGGAACUACCAAACACUUACAAAACCAUCAGAUCUCCUGAGAACUCCCUCACUAUCAUGAGGACAGCAUGGGGGAAACCGCCCCCAUGAUCCAAUCACCUCCACCUGGUCUCUCUCUCUCGACACGUGUGGAUUAUGGGGAUUAUAAUUCAAGAUAAGAUUUGGGUGGAGACACAAAGCCUAACCAUAUUAAUAAUGUAUUGCAUACUUGAAAUUUGUUCUUACUAUACCUACAAAAAAAGGUAACUGUGAGGUGACUGACAUGUUAAUUCAUUCGAUUGUGGAAGGUAUUUCACAAUGUAUAUCAAAACAUAUACCUUGAAAUUAUAGGAUUUUUAUUUAUCAGUUAUACCCCAAUAAAGCUGAAAAAAGGACAUUGUGUGGGGUAUGGUGAUUCUGGUAUGGGAGAGCAUAUCAGGGAAUGAGGCUUAGGAGUAUGGAGUGUAUGGCAAAUUCUGUUUGUGCGUUUGGACCUAUCAGCCAUGGAGAGGGCACAUGUCUGAGAGUACUGUAAGCAUAGGAAACAUUAGUCCUUACCUUAUCCUCGAGGACCCAUACUGGGAAGGUGAACACACACAUACAUAAUCACACGCUCACAACACAUGCAUGUUCCCACUUAUUGAAAUCAGCCCAAAUGUAAUGCCCAA
rnacentral:lncRNA from 10 species